UACGUAGGGUGCAAGCGUUAAUCGGAAUUACUGGGCGUAAAGCGUGCGUAGGUGGUUGUUUAAGUCUGUUGUGAAAGCCCUGGGCUCAACCUGGGAAUUGCAGUGGAUACUGGGCGACUAGAGUGUGGUAGAGGGUAGUGGAAUUCCCGGUGUAGCAGUGAAAUGCGUAGAGAUCGGGAGGAACAUCCAUGGCGAAGGCAGCUACCUGGACCAACACUGACACUGAGGCACGAAAGCGUGGGGAGCAAACAGG
rnacentral:rRNA from 1 species